AGAAAACCAGACAAAGUUUCACGAAUGCAAAUGUCGCUACUAAUAGUCAACAAGCAAGAAAGAAUACAUGGUAUGCCCAACUGUCUGAUGAGAAGAGAGCAGCAUUCCUCGAAAAACGUCGUAUGUCCCGACAAGAAAAGAAGGCUCAGUGUCUAGAUGUUGUUACUGGUCAACUAACACCUGAGGCACAUGCUUCGUUAGGAUCCAAGGAGUGUACCCCUUUGAGCAACAUAACCAACACACACACACAAAUGAUAUGUUCAUACUCUGCAUAUCAUAAUUAUUGAAUGACCAUUUACUCAUUUUGCUUGGACGUCCGACUCCUGUGUUGUGUCAGAUGCAAGAUGUACAGGGGACUCCAUGACUACUGUUCGACAUUCCUAAGAUGUUAAUGUUGAGCGAAAAAGGACUGGCCAUAAUCGGUAUGCUCGACUAACAGACGAACAAAGAGCAGAACACUUGCAUAAGCUCCGGUUGGCUCGCCUACAAAAAAAAAGUUGUAGCUGACAGUGUUACUGUUGAAUUACCACACAGCUCGUACUCCUGAUCUUCACCUGGUUCAGCCUCUACGGUACCAAUCUCCAAGAGUAGUACUUGUCUUCCGGUGGCACGGCACAAAGCGACGACUGCAACCGGCACUGCGAGUGUCAAAAAACGCCAACCAUCUGUCGGGGAAGCGUCACCUGGUAUCACACAUUAUGGAUCGUCACAAUCCAGUAUCACCCGUGUGUCCGUGUGGGACACACGCUAGUUGGAGAGCCAAAUACAGGGAGGACGUUUCUGAAGAUUGGCUGCACAGGAAUCCAACUUACGUACGGGGAGCGAGGUCGGCUGAACACAAUAGUAACGUCUUACGGACUGGGGCAAUGUGGGCUGAACAUAAAAGUAAUGUCUUACAGACUGGAUGAGAGCACGGACAAUAUGACUUUGUGCCCACGAGUUUUAUCUUCGGUCCGUCCAUUGAACGACAAGAUUCAGCUGCCCGCUACGAGAAGGAGCGCAUUCGUAAGAGAACGAAAUACUCGGAAAUGAGCAUGGACCAGAGAGAUGCCUUAUUAUAUCGGGUUCGCGAGUACAAGAAAAGAAAGCGGACAACUUAUGCCUCAUCCGACAAGUACGACCAUGCUGGAGUGUCCAACAUUGACGGGGACUCUGAUUUAUCCGGAAUUUUCGAGCCAAUGAGACCGGAUGCUGAAAUUGAAGGUGUGUUGUCUUCCCUCCCAUAAUGGUACCCACAUUCAUUAUAUUUAGCUGAUUCAAUCAUUGUGUUCCCAUAGAAACAUGGACACCUCCCAAGAUGUAAUAUAAUGUGAGGCCUAAUUAAGUGUAGGUCUGAUUAUUUGGUUUUUGAACAUGUGGAGUACCCAUGAUGGGUGAGCCUUCGAUCGAGCUCAUGUGUGAGGCUAAUCUAUUGUAAGCCUUCAUCGACUUCAGUUCACCAUAUGUUAUUUCAUUUGUCAACAGAGCGGGGAUUCAGCUUGAAAAAUAUCACACUCAGGCUUAAAAGUAUCAGUUGUCAAACACUAUAUUACCUCAGUGAAUUGCCAUCGAAUUGUACAAUUCUUUCCUUGUCUGUUUAUAAGAGGAUUUGUAAGAUAUUUUUCAUUCAACCUUUUUAGCGCUAA